rnacentral:tRNA from 1 species
UCCCAGGUGGCUCAGACAGUAAAGAAUCUGCCUGCAAUGCAGGAGACCUGGGUUCAACCCCUGGGUUGGGAA